UACGUAGGGUGCAAGCGUUGUCCGGAAUUAUUGGGCGUAAAGCGCACGUAGGCGGUUUGUUAUGUCGGAUGUGAAAGCCCUUGGCUCAACUGAGGAAGUGCAUCCGAAACUGGCAAGCUAGAGUAUGUAAGAGGGUCGCGGAAUUCCCGGUGUAGAGGUGAAAUUCGUAGAUAUCGGGAGGAACACCGGUGGCGAAGGCGGCGACCUGGGACGGUACUGACGCUGAGACGCGAAAGCGUGGGGGAGCGAACAGG
rnacentral:rRNA from 1 species